AAUGAACGCUGGCGGCAGGCUUAACACAUGCAAGUCGAACGAGUGGCGGACGGGUGAGUAAUGCAUGGGAAUCUAGCUUAUGGGCCGGGCUAACUGCGGGCACACGUAGCAAAAACCGCGUAACAUAGGAUAGGCCGAAGUGGGAGUAGGUAGUUGGUGAGGUAAAGGCUCACCAAGACGACGAUCUCUAGCUGGUCUGCGAGGAUGACCGGCCACACUGGGACUGAGACACGGCCCAGACUCCUACGGGAGGCAGCAGUGGGGAAUAUUGGGCAAUGGAGUAAACCCGGACGGAGCAAUGCCGCGUGAGUGAAGAAGGCCUUCGGGUUGUAAAGUUCUUUUAGCGGGGAGGCGUUAUCCACAGAAGAAGCACCGGCUAACUACGUGCCAGCAGCCGCGGUAAUAC
rnacentral:rRNA from 1 species